AUACUUAGUGAGGCCAUAGUGAGGCCCUUGCACUUUGGCUUGGGCUGACCUAUGUGGCAGCUUCUCAUUGAGGUUAGCCAACCGCUAAAUUUAUGUGUGUAGGGCUGCGUUCGCGCGUCCCCGG
rnacentral:snRNA from 14 species